UACGUAGGGGGCAAGCGUUGUCCGGAAUCAUUGGGCGUAAAGAGCGUGUAGGCGGUUCAGUAAGUCUGCUGUGAAAGUCCAGGGCUCAACCCUGGGAUGCCGGUGGAUACUGCUGGACUAGAGUGCGGAAGAGGCAAGUGGAAUUCCCGGUGUAGCGGUGAAAUGCGCAGAUAUCGGGAGGAACACCUAUGGCGAAGGCAGCUUGCUGGGACGGUACUGACGCUGAGACGCGAAAGCGUGGGGAGCAAACAGG
rnacentral:rRNA from 1 species